rnacentral:rRNA from 1 species
AGAGUUUGAUCAUGGCUCAGAACGUACGCUGGCGGCACGCCUUAUACAUGCAAGUCGAACGAAGUAGCAAUACUUAGUGGCAGACGGGUGAGUAACAUGUAGGUAUCUUCCCUUUGGUGAGGAAUAACACGAGGAAACUUGUGCUAAUACCUCAUAAGUCUUUACGGAGAAAGCUUUAUGCGCCAUUGGAUGAGCCUGCACUUGAUUAGUUUGUUGGUGGGGUAAUGGCCUACCAAGACUGUGAUCAAUAGCUGAUCUGAGAGGAUGAUCAGCCACAUUGGGACUGAGACACGGCCCAAACUCCUACGGGAGGCAGCAGUAGGGAAUAUUGCACAAUGGAGGAAACGCUGAUGCAGCGAUGCCGCGUGAGUGAAGAAGGCCUUUGGGUUGUAAAGCUCUUUCGUCGGGGAAGAAAAUGACUGUACCCGAAUAAGAAGGUCCGGCUAACUUCGUGCCAGCAGCCGCGGUAAUACGAAGGGACCUAGCGCAGUUCGGAAUUACUGGGCUUAAAGAGUUCGUAGGUGGUUAAAAAAGUUGGUGGUGAAAUCCCAGAGCUUAACUCUGGAACUGCCAUCAAAACUUUUUAGCUAGAGUAUGAUAGAGGAAAGCAGAAUUUCUAGUGUAGAGGUGAAAUUCGUAGAUAUUAGAAAGAAUACCAAUUGCGAAGGCAGCUUUCUGGAUCAUUACUGACGCUGAGGAACGAAAGCAUGGGUAGCGAAGAGGAUUAGAUACCCUCGUAGUCCAUGCCGUAAACGAUGUGUGUUAGACGUUGGAAAUUUAUUUUCAGUGUCGCAGCGAAAGCAUUAAACACACCGCCUGGGGAGUACGACCGCAAGGUUAAAACUCAAAUGAAUUGACGGGGACCCGCACAAGUAGUGGAGCAUGUGGU